AGCUGAGUGAAAGCCUUCGGCUCAACCGAAGAAGUGCAUCGGAAACUGGGAAACUUGAGUGCAGAAGAGGACAGUGGAACUCCAUGUGUAGCGGUGAAAUGCGUAGAUAUAUGGAAGAACACCAGUGGCGAAGGCGGCUGUCUGGUCUGUAACUGACGCUGAGGCUCGAAAGUAUGGGUAGCAAACAGGAUUAGAUACCCUGGUAGUCCAUACCGUAAACGAUGAAUGCUAAGUGUUGGAGGGUUUCCGCCCUUCAGUGCUGCAGCUAACGCAUUAAGCAUUCCGCCUGGGGAGUACGGCCGCAAGGCUGAAACUCAAAGGAAUUGACGGGGGCCCGCACAAGCGGUGGAGCAUGUGGUUUAAUUCGAAGCUACGCGAAGAACCUUACCAGGUCUUGACAUACUAUGCAAAUCUAAGAGAUUAGACGUUCCCUUCGGGGACAUGGAUACAGGUGGUGCAUGGUUGUCGUCAGCUCGUGUCGUGAGAUGUUGGGUUAAGUCCCGCAACGAGCGCAACCCUUAUUAUCAGUUGCCAGCAUUAAGUUGGGCACUCUGGUGAGACUGCCGGUGACAAACCGGAGGAAGGUGGGGAUGACGUCAAAUCAUCAUGCCCCUUAUGACCCUGGGC
rnacentral:rRNA from 1 species